GGUUCAUUCAAAUUUCUUCCCUAUCAACUUUCGAUGUUUGGGUAUUGGCCAAACAUGGUUGCAACGGGUAACGGAGGGUUAGGGCUCGACCCCGGAGAAGGAGCCUGAGAAACGGCUACUACAUCCAAGGAAGGCAGCAGGCGCGCAAAUUACCCAAUCCCGACCGGGGAGGUAGUGACAAUAAAUACUGAUACAGGGUUCUUUUGGAUCUUGUAAUUGGAAUGAGUACAAUUUAAAUCCCUUAACGAGGAACAAUUGGAGGGCAAGUCUGGUGCCAGCAGCCGCGGUAAUUCCAGCUCCAAUAGCGUAUAUUAAAGUUGUUGUGGUUAAAAAGCUCGUAGUUG
rnacentral:rRNA from 1 species